GUGGGGAAUAUUGGGCAAUGGGCGAAAGCCUGACCCAGCAACGCCGCGUGAGGGAAGAAGGUUUUCGGAUUGUAAACCUCUGUCCUUGGUGACGAACACAAUGACGGUAGCCAAGGAGGAAGCCCCGGCUAACUACGUGCCAGCAGCCGCGGUAAUACGUAGGGGGCAAGCGUUGUCCGGAAUGACUGGGCGUAAAGGGCGUGUAGGCGGCCGAUUAAGUCUGGAGUGAAAGUCCUGCUUUCAAGGUGGGAAUUGCUUUGGAGACUGGUUGGCUUGAGUGCGGAAGAGGCAAGUGGAAUUCCCAGUGUAGCGGUGAAAUGCGUAGAGAUUGGGAGGAACACCAGUGGCGAAGGCGACUUGCUGGGCCGUAACUGACGCUGAGGCGCGAAAGCGUGGGGAGCGAACAGGAUUAGAUACCCUUGUAGUCC
rnacentral:rRNA from 1 species